rnacentral:rRNA from 1 species
UACGUAGGAGGCAAGCAUUAUCCGGAUUUAUUGGGCGUAAAGUGUGCGUAGGCUUCCUAUCUAGUCUUUGUUUAAAGCCCGAGGCUUACCCUCGGUAUUGGCAGAGAUACUGGUAGGAUGGAGGAUUGACAGGGAUGCCGGAACAGUAUGUGUAGCAGUGAAAUGCGUUGAUAUAUACUGGAACACCGAUGGCGAAGGCAGGCAUCUGGGUUUUUCCUGACGCUGAGGCACGAAAGCUAGGGUAGCGAAA